rnacentral:rRNA from 1 species
UGCAGUCGAACGAUGAUGCCCAGCUUGCUGGGUGGAUUAGUGGCGAACGGGUGAGUAACACGUGAGUAACCUGCCCCUGACUCUGGGAUAAGCGUUGGAAACGACGUCUAAUACUGGAUAUGAUCACUGGCCGCAUGGUCUGGUGGUGGAAAGAUUUUUUGGUUGGGGAUGGACUCGCGGCCUAUCAGCUUGUUGGUGAGGUAAUGGCUCACCAAGGCGACGACGGGUAGCCGGCCUGAGAGGGUGACCGGCCACACUGGGACUGAGACACGGCCCAGACUCCUACGGGAGGCAGCAGUGGGGAAUAUUGCACAAUGGGCGAAAGCCUGAUGCAGCAACGCCGCGUGAGGGAUGACGGCCUUCGGGUUGUAAACCUCUUUUAGUAGGGAAGAAGCGAAAGUGACGGUACCUGCAGAAAAAGCACCGGCUAACUACGUGCCAGCAGCCGCGGUAAUACGUAGGGUGCAAGCGUUGUCCGGAAUUAUUGGGCGUAAAGAGCUCGUAGGCGGUUUGUCGCGUCUGCUGUGAAAUCCCGAGGCUCAACCUCGGGCUUGCAGUGGGUACGGGCAGACUAGAGUGCGGUAGGGGAGAUUGGAAUUCCUGGUGUAGCGGUGGAAUGCGCAGAUAUCAGGAGGAACACCGAUGGCGAAGGCAGAUCUCUGGGCCGUAACUGACGCUSAGGAGCGAAAGCAUGGGGAGCGAACAGGAUUAGAUACCCUGGUAGUCCAUGCCGUAAACGUUGGGCGCUAGAUGUAGGGACCUUUCCACGGUUUCUGUGUCGUAGCUAACGCAUUAAGCGCCCCGCCUGGGGAGUACGGCCGCAAGGCUAAAACUCAAAGGAAUUGACGGGGGGCCCGCACAAGCGGGCGGAGCAU